UACGAAGGUGGCAAGCGUUGUUCGGAUUUACUGGGCGUACAGGGAGCGUAGGCGGUUGGAUAAGCCCUCCGUGAAAUCUCCAGGCUUAACCUGGAAAGUGCAGAGGGGACUGUUCAGCUAGAGGAUGGGAGAGGAGCGCGGAAUUCCCGGUGUAGCGGUGAAAUGCGUAGAUAUCGAGAGGAACACCGGUGGCGAAGGCGGCCUUCUGGACAGUGACUGACGCUGAGACACGAAAGCGUGGGGAGCAAACAGG
rnacentral:rRNA from 1 species